rnacentral:rRNA from 2 species
CUACGGGUGGCAGCAGUGGGGAAUAUUGCACAAUGGGCGAAAGCCUGAUGCAGCUAUACCGCGUGUAUGAAGAAGGCCUUAGGGUUGUAAAGUACUUUCGUCGGGGAGGAAAAAUUAAUAGAUAAUACCUGUUUUUCUUGACGUUACCCAAAAAAGAAGCACCGGCUAACUCCGUGCCAGCAGCCGCGGUAAUACGGAGGGUGCAAGCGUUAAUCAGAAUUACUGGGCGUAAAGAGCUCGUAGGCGGUUUUUUAAGUCAGAUGUGAAAUCCCUGGGCUUAACCUAGGAACUGCAUUUGAAACUGAAAGACUAGAGUAUCGUAGAGGGAGGUAGAAUUCUAGGUGUAGCGGUGAAAUGCGUAGAUAUCUGGAGGAAUACCUGUGGCGAAAGCGGCCUCCUAGAUGAAUACUGACGCUGAGGUGCGAAAGCAUGGGGAGCAAACAGGAUUAGAUACCCUAGUAGUC